GACGAACGCUGGCGGCGUGCCUAAUACAUGCAAGUCGAGCGGACCUCUUCGGAGGUUAGCGGCGGACGGGUGAGUAACACGUGGGCAACCUGCCUGUAAGACUGGGAUAACUUCGGGAAACCGGAGCUAAUACCGGAUAAUCAUUUCCCUCUCAUGAGGGAAAGCUGACAGACGGUUUCGGCCGUCACUUACAGAUGGGCCCGCGGCGCAUUAGCUAGUUGGUGAGGUAACGUGUCACCAAGGCGACGAUGCGUAGCCGACCUGAGAGGGUGAUCGGCCACACUGGGACUGGGACAAGGCCCAGACUCCUACGGGAGGCAGCAGUAGGGAAUCUUCCGCAAUGGACGAAAGUCUGACGGAGCAACGCCGCGUGAGCGAAGAAGGCCUUCGGGUCGUAAAGCUCUGUUGUCAGGGAAGAACAAGUAUCGGAGUAACUGCCGGUACCUUGACGGUACCUGACCAGAAAGCCACGGCUAACUACGUGCCAGCAGCCGCCGUAA
rnacentral:rRNA from 1 species